GGCCUCCCAAAGUACUGGGAUUACGGGUAUGAGCUACCAUGCCCAGCCCGCUUUACAAAUUUCUUUUUUCCUUCCUGCUCCCACUGCUUAACUUGAUUAGCCUAAA
rnacentral:Y_RNA from 1 species